GUAGUUAGCCGGGGCUUCCUCCUUGGCUACCGUCACUUUCUUCGUCACCAAGGACAGAGGUUUACAACCCGAAAGCCUUCUUCCCUCACGCGGCGUUGCUGGGUCAGGCUUGCGCCCAUUGCCCAAUAUUCCCCACUGCUGCCUCCCGUAGGAGUCUGGACCGUGUCUCAGUUCCAGUGUGGCCGAUCAGCCUCUCAGGCUCGGCUACCCAUCCGUUGGCUAGGUGGGCCGUUACCCCACCAACUAGCUAAUCGGACGCGAGUCCAUCCUAAAGCGAAUAAAUCCUUUUACCUCAAAACCAUGCGGUUUCGUGGUCUUAUGCGGUAUUAGCAGUCGUUUCCAACUGUUGUCCCCCACUCUAGGGCAGGUUACUCACGCGUUACUCACCCGUUCGCCACUAGACUUAGAAAAGCAAGCUUCUCCAAGUCCCGUUCGACUUGCAUGUGUUAGGCGCGCCGCCAGCGUUCGUCCUGAGCCAUAAUCAAACUCUGA
rnacentral:rRNA from 1 species